rnacentral:lncRNA from 1 species
UGUUAAAUAUCUUUAUUUAUUCGCUUCGAUUUAAACAUUUAAAAUGAAUUAUACACCAUGCAGUUAUAAUUGCCAUUAAUCAAUCAUAUUCCUGCUUUUAUUUUGAGCCAUCCAUAUGUUCACAGGCAGAGUUCAAAGCAACAUCUCAAAGCUAAUUUGCCUUGUGGUGCUGUUCCUUCAUUGAGGGAACGUCUUACAAUAUCCCAUAGCCAUACUACGGUAAGCAGCUAUAGGCAUGGCGGUGAAAGCUGAAAAAAUGUAAUAAUUUACAAAUGGAACACACAUCUAGAACCUUAUGUACAUAUAUCCAAAUCAUGCUCUGAGAUGAUCAAAUUAAAAGCAUGACAGAAUUAUCAACACAUACUUGGGGAUGGAUCUCCAUUCAGAUUAAACAUAAUUCACUUCCUGAUGAGAUUUAUUUACAUGACCUUACUUAAAAUGAGUUUAUAUUAGGUAAGUCAGUUACGAAGACAUGUUUAUUUACAAUGGCGGUUUGGCAAGUGGUGAGAGGCAAGUACGGUGAUAAAUAACUAAAACAAUUGGAGCCACAGUGUAAGUAGAAAGCUUACAUUAAAACCUACAUUUUUACCAUCUCUUUCUGUGUUUUGGAUAUGGAGUGUAUUGCACUGUUCCCCAGGAUCACUGCAUGAACAUCUCUGAUUGGCUGAUCAGCAUCACUGCAUUAGCCUAGUAUAGAUACAGUGCAGUGCACUAAGCUGUCAAACACUGCCCUCUACUGGUGGAUAUUGAAAUCUACCUCACAAUUUGAGGCUCUUGGUAAAAUUGGGACAUUUUUUUGGUCUAUGCCCCACAAAUUUCUCAAUGCAGUGGUCAUUACAAUCAGUUGCAUAAUUGAAAUUAAAACUGGGUGGUUCGAGCCCUGAAUGCUGAUUGGCUGACAGCCGUGGUAUAUCAGACCGUAAACCACGGGUAUGACAAAACAUAAAUAUUUUACUGCUCUAAUUACGUUGGUAACCAGUUUAUAAUAGAAUAAGGCACCUCGGGGGUUUGUGGUGUAUGGCCAAUAUACCACGGCUAAGGGCUGUAUCCAGGCACUCCACGUUAAGCGUCGUGCUUAAGAACAGCCCUUAGCCGUGGUAUAUUGGCCAUAUACCACACCCCUCAGGCCUUAUUGCUUAAAUAGAGCACAGCUUGUUUUGUAAGUGAAUUAAAACAUUACAUUCAGACUUAGCUUCUUUUAAGAAUAAAGUGUCCCUAAAAGCAUUGGUAAACCAUUAUCAAUAUGCUUACCAAUAGAAUAGAGCAAAAACAAUGUGCUGAUCAUAACUGAAGUAAAUGAAUGUGGUACAAAACACAGUGCAGGUGGGCGAUCAUUCCAAUCUGAACUUUGAACUUCUUUAGGAAAACUAUCAUACAUUCCUAAUGCAGUCGGCAAAGCAAAGGAUUCUUCAACAACAAGUCAAGAUCCAGUUUACAUUACUGUGACUGUCAUAUACUAUACAAUGUGGUUCUUAGUGAUGGCAUAACACCCUCUGUAAUAUACAUGUAACCUUCUAUCAGCACACAUCUUCUCCUCCAAGACAACACUACAAUGAAAUAUAUAUGUACAUGUACAAUGGAAAAGAGAGAGACAUACACUAUGUGAAAACUAUGAAAGAUGCCACAGAGUAGAGUGGAAGGGGGCAGAGGGGUCUUACUCCUAGACCCAGAGGAAGGACAGGAGGAUGAGGACAGAGGGGUCUUACUCCUAGACCCAGAGGAAGGACAGGAGGAUGAGGACAGAGGGGUCUUACUCCUAGACCCAGAGGAAGGACAGGAGGAUGAGGACAGAAAGGUCUUACUCCUAGACCCAGAGGAAGGACAGGAGGAUGAGGACAGAGGGGUCUUACUCCUAGACCCAGAGGAAGGACAGGAGGAUGAGGACAGAAAGGUCUUACUCCUAGACCCAGAGGAAGGACAGGAGGAUGAGGACAGAGGGGUCUUACUCCUAGACCCAGAGGAAGGACAGGAGGAUGAGGACAGAAGGGUCUUACUCCUAGACCCAGAGGAAGGACAGGAGGAUGAGGGCAGAGGGGUCUUACUCCUAGACCCAUAGGAAGGACAUGAGGAUGAGGGCAGAGGGGUCUUACUCCUAGACCCAGAGGAAGGACAGGAGGAUGAGGGCAGAGGGGUCUUACUCCUAGACCCAGAGGAAGGACAGGAGGAUGAGGACAGAGGGGUCUUACUCCUAGACCCAGAGGAAGGACAGGAGGAUGAGGACAGAGGGGUCUUACUCCUAGACCCAGAGGAAGGACAGGAGGAUGAGGACAGAGGGGUCUUACUCCUAGACCCAGAGGAAGGACAGGAGGAUGAGGACAGAGGGGUCUUACUCCUAGACCCAAAGGAAGGACAGGACAGGAGGAUGAGGACAGAAAGGUCUUACUCCUAGACCCAGAGGAAGGACAGGAGGAUGAGGACAGAAAGGUCUUACUCCUAGACCCAGAGGAAGGACAGGACAGGAGGAUGAGGACAGAGGG